UCCAAUUUGUUUAAUUUCACCGGGCACCAUUUUUAGCUUCAUUGUCUUUUCGAUGUGAUUCAAACCAAAUUACCAAUUGAAUUACAAUUAGUUAAUUACGGGACAAUUGGAAUUGGGAAUUUGGGAAUUAAGGAUUUCUCUUUCUCUUGAAUCUCUUCUCUCUUCUCACUUUCUCUCCCAAAUCUCUAGCAGCCUGACAAAGACGGACGAAGAAAUGAAGAAGCAAAUCAAGUAAUAAUUCCGCUGUGUUUGCUGAAAUGAAGCCUUGACCUCUACUGAUUUCUGAAGCUUUUCCGAUUUCCGCUGUGUUUGCCGACUACACACACGGACCUUUAUUUCUCCGCUCCUCCCCCAAGCCCUGAGCUUCGUCGAUUCUAUAGAGUGUAGAUUCUGUACUUUAGCAGCUACCGGUGAAGCCUUGAAGAUGAAGCUCUAAAUUUGGUUGAAUUGGAUGCUGGAGAUGAAGAUGAGACUAAUAAUGAAGAGAAUGAGAGAAGAAAUUAUCCUAAUAAAGGCUAUGAUAUGUCAAAUUUUGAUGAUGUCGAGGAAUUUGGUGGUACUAAAUUCGGCUAUAGUUAGGAGCCAUGGAAAUGAAGUGAUGAACAGUAAAUGACCUAUUGAAGUGAUAAACUGCAUUAUUGUUGUUUAUGUUUAUUAGUUUAUGUUUGGUGGUACUGAUUUACUGAAUUGAUUGUUAAUCAUGGCCAUGUUUCAAUGUUUGAGACAAGUUUUGUAUGUUGAAAAGUUUGAAAUAUGAACUAUCAUGUCAGAAUGCUUGAGGCUUGAACUUUGAAUUUGAAAUUUAAACUUUGAAA